GAUGAACGCUGGCGGCGUGCUUAACACAUGCAAGUCGAGCGAGUGAGUUCUUCGGAACGAUCUAGCGGCGGACGGGUGAGUAACACGUGGGCAACCUGCCUCAUAGAGGGGAAUAGCCUCCCGAAAGGGAGAUUAAUACCGCAUAAAAUUAUCGAGUGGCAUCACAUGAUAAUCAAAGGAGUAAUCCGCUAUGAGAUGGGCCCGCGGCGCAUUAGCUAGUUGGUAAGGUAACGGCUAACCAAGGCGACGAUGCGUAGCCGACCUGAGAGGGUGAUCGGCCACAUUAGGACUGAGACACGGCCCAUACUCCUACGGGAGGCAGCAGUGGGGAAUAUUGCACAAUGGGGGAAACCCUGAUGCAGCAACGCCGCGUGAGUGAUGAAGGUCUUCGGAUUGUAAAGCUCUGUCUUUGGGGACGAUAAUGACGGUACCCAAGGAGGAAGCCACGGCUAACUACGUGCCAGCCGCCGCGGUAA
rnacentral:rRNA from 1 species